UGUUCCCUGUUCCUUGUUCUUUCUUUCCUAUUCCUCAUUACUCGUUCUACGUUCUUCGUUCCCCGUUCUUCGUUCCCAGUUUAUAUUUGCAAAAUCUAAUCGAUUUCCUCUCGGCCAUCUUUAAAAUAGAGAACGGACUCGAGAGAGCGGCAGAAAUCGAGCCUGGAUUUCCACUGUCAUGUAGUUCUACUUUUGUUAACAGUCGUAAAUUUUACAGGAUUUACUUGCGUAGAAAAAAAAAAAGAGUAACUUCUCCACAGACCGCUUAUACAUUUGGUGGAUUUCACUCCACGUUUAAAAGAUUGCCGCUUUUCAAUAUCCCUUCUUUUAAAGAUUCCCACAUUCAAAGACACCCGCUUUUUAAAGAUUCCCCUUUUUAAGAUUCUCGCUUUUAAAGAUUCCCCGUUCCCCGUUCGGCCAUUUCCCGUUCCUUAUUUUGAAGAUACCCUCUCGAGAUUUUGGGUUCGGUAUUUGCUCAUAAAUGAGUUUUGUUUUCAUUAACAUCAUAGAUCACGUGGAUAUUAUUGGAACUUCACCUUGGCCUUGAGUUUUUCUUUGCAAGAAUCGAUUCCAUGCAUUCUUUCGAAAGAUUUUGUUUUCCUUUUUUCAGUUUAUCAAUGACUGAAUAGUAAAUAAUACAUAUUAUUGUUUUCGAAGAACUGGUAAAUCUAUCGCUUACCGAAAAAGCUAGAAUAAACAAAAUUCAACCACCAGUAGCCACGAGUCAUACGAUCUAAUUUCCCCUCUUGCCCAGUGGGAGUCCAGGGGCACUGUUGUCAUUAGCAUGGACUGGAUCGAUCGUUGUAGAACUAUCCUUGUUAUGUUGCGAUGAGAACACAUUCUAAGCUCUUCAUAAUCAAAUUUAGCAGCUACAGAACCGAUUUUAGGUUGGACCUGUGUGUUAUAACGCUGCUUAAUUCAAUUCUAAGAAUGUCGCUGGACACAAAAGGUUUCCUCAACUCGACAAACACUUCUCACCGAGACUUCAAGUAUGACCCUCUGUUUAACACUGUAGACACCACCACAGAACCAAACACUUAUCUCUUCAGUAAAGAUCUACAGAACCAGCAUAGACUAGAAGCAUGGCUCUCAUUGAGCAGUAUAGCCACUCUAUUGUAUGCAUUUGGAGUCGUUACCGGUCAAGUAACUCAGUAUGUCACUCUGCCGAUGUGGAUCGACAGUACGAAGAAUGUGACUUCAUCCCAGAACCAAAGCAUUAAAUGGACACCAACAAUGGACAGCUAUUUCGUUUUAUCUUUUGCCUCUACUGUUUUUGUUACAGUGUUCGGUUCUGUCUUAGUUCUUAAUACCUUCGUUUUCAAGCAAUAUUCAAUCUGUAACACAGACUGGAGUCAUCGUCGUUUAUUUCUGACAGUUGGUUUCUUUCAAGGACUUGCUGCAGUUUUUAUCGUGUUUUCCAGCAGUGGAAAGAGAACCCCUCCUUAUCUACAAGCCAUCCUUGGAAACUUUUCAAUUCCUAUAACGCUCUUAUUAAGAUUCCUCUUCUUAAAGAAGGUUCCUACCAGGAGAAAAUUCCUAUCUGCGGUUGCAGUCGUAGUUGGCCUUUUUAUUUCUCUCAUUCCAACUUUUUCCUCACGUAUUGAUCCAAGAGCUGCAAGACAUCUAGGAGGAGCUACUGGGUCAGGAAGAGUCUUAUGGCCUUUGGCAUUCAUGUUUGGAUUUGGGAUCUCAGCCAUUUCUUAUGUUAUGGAAGAAAAAGCUGUUAAGCUGCGAGCAAAUGAUGAAACUCACGCUGGCUUAGUGUCUUUUUUGUUUUGGACUUCACUGGCACAAUUUCUUGUCCUGCUGCCUCUAUUCUGGGUGGAUUUCAUUCCAGGAUUUGGACAGACAAAGAACUUUCAUGAAUUCAUUCAAAAUUUAUAUUUUAUUCAGUUGGAUAUUUGGGCUCCAGUGCGUAUUUGGUGGAGCAGGAUGUUCAUGGUCUCCUGGUGUCCUUGCACUUCUGUUCAUCACUAGCUAUAUUAUGGUAGUCUGUGGUUGUGCACUGCUUCUCCGAUAUUCCGAGGGAGCAACGUUACUUGCAAUAGUUCUGUCUCUUUGUACACCCCUUGGAUUCAUUUUCUGGACCUUGUUUCAAGAGAAACCUUUCCAUUGGCACCCUUACUUUCACACCAGUUCGUG